GCAAGUCGAGCGAAGAAUAUAUAAAGAAAUCUUCGGAUGGAAUUAUAUAUUUCUUAGCGGCGGACGGGUGAGUAACGCGUGAGGAACCUGCCUUGUACUAGGGGAUAGCCUCGGGAAACCGGGAUUAAUACCCUAUGAUACUUGAGAAUCACAUGAUUUUCAAGUCAAAGCGAUUUAGCGGUAUAAGAUGGUCUCGCGUCCCAUUAGCUAGUUGGUGAGGUAAUAGCUCACCAAGGCGACGAUGGGUAGCCGGCCUGAGAGGGUGAACGGCCACACUGGAACUGAGACACGGUCCAGACUCCUACGGGAGGCAGCAGUGGGGAAUAUUGCACAAUGGAGGAAACUCUGAUGCAGCGACGCCGCGUGAGCGAUGAAGGUUUUCGGAUCGUAAAGCUCUGUCCUAAGGGACGAUAAUGACGGUACCUUAGGAGGAAGCCCCGGCUAACUACGUGCCAGCAGCCGCGGUAAUACGUAGGGGGCGAGCGUUGUCCGGAUUUAUUGGGCGUAAAGGGUGCGUAGGCGGCCUUGUAAGUCAGAUGUGAAAUCUCACGGCUUAACCGUGGUAAGCAUUUGAAACUGUGAGGCUUGAGUACAGGAGAGGAGAGUGGAAUUCCUAGUGUAGCGGUGAAAUGCGUAGAUAUUAGGAGGAAUACCAGUGGCGAAGGCGACUCUCUGGACUGUAACUGACGCUGAGGCACGAAAGCGUGGGGAGCAAACAGGAUUAGAUACCCUGGUAGUCCACGCCGUAAACGAUGAGUGCUAGGUGUCGGGGGUCAAACCUCGGUGCCGCAGUUAACACAUUAAGCACUCCGCCUGGGGAGUACGGUGGCAACACUGCAACUCAAUGAAUUGACGGAA
rnacentral:rRNA from 1 species